AGUUCAUGGUCGAUUUGGCCGCCUGACGGAGCAAUCCGCCAGAGUACAACCCGAGAAUUGCUGGGACCUCCUGCUAGACCUCGGCACCACAACGUGGGGCGAAAGCCCGAGCGUGACGGUUCGAAAAGCUGAGGGUAGGGAAAAUCAGCAGCCGAGCCCCUUGACUGGGGAAGGUUCAGAGACUAUGCACGGGUCACCCCACGCGGGUGAAGAUAUAGUCCGAACUGCACGGAGACGUGUAG
rnacentral:ncRNA from 1 species